CCCCAUCCGACCCGUCUUGAAACACGGACCAAGGAGUCUAACAUAUGUGCGAGUACAGGGGUGGCAAACCCCCGUGCGCAAUGAAAGUGACAGUGGUUGGACCUUUUGGGCACAAUCCGCCGGCCUCAAUCCUUCGGGAGAACGGUCUGAGUGUGAGCAUACAUGUUGGGACCCGAAAGAUGGUGAACUAUGCCUGAAUAGGGUGAAGCCAGAGGAAACUCUGGUGGAGGCCCGCAGCGGUUCUGACGUGCAAAUCGAUCGUCAAAUAUGGGCAUGGGGGCGAAAGACUAAUCGAACCUUCUAGUAGCUGGUUUCCGCCGAAGUUUCCCUCAG
rnacentral:rRNA from 13 species